rnacentral:rRNA from 1 species
UACGUAGGGUGCGAGCGUUAAUCGGAAUUACUGGGCGUAAAGCGUGCGCAGGCGGUUAUUUAAGUCAGGUGUGAAAGCCCUGGGCUUAACCUAGGAAUUGCGCUUGAGACUGGAUAGCUUGGAGUGCGGCAGAGGGAGGUGGAAUUCCACGUGUAGCAGUGAAAUGCGUAGAGAUGUGGAGGAACACCGAUGGCGAAGGCAGGUCUCUGGGCUGACACUGACGCUCAUGCACGAAAGCGUGGGGAGCAAACAGG